rnacentral:miRNA from 1 species
AGUUUGUGCGUGAAUCUAACC